UAUCCCAAACGUCGGCUCGACAACAAGCAGAGGCGUCUCAACCAGGAAACGCUCCUGCAAAUGAUUAGCUUGCUAGCGUGAGCUAGCAUCGACAUCAAAACAUCUUGCAGAUGACAUUAGCUAAAGUUAGCUAGGGGCUGCUUCCUGCGCUGCGCCACCGUAUCCAUGGAUAAGACAAUGCGCUGUCGUUGAGGAAAGCCAGCGGGUUUAUAAGAUGUGCACAAGCUGUGGGGAAAGGUGUGUGCUCUUAUGGCUCCUCCACUGGCCCAGCUGAGACCCCUCUGAAACCAAUGAGGGGCAAAUAAAAGCCCGAGCAGAGCAUCAGCAGUCUGCAGUAGGCCAAGAGGCAGUGUGGACUUCCAGUGAGCAGUAGUUGGUGUUUCCUUGUGUAUUGUUUUUCGAGGUUCAUCUUUUUUUUUUUGUUGGAGAAUGUUUCCUGUUGGUUCCCGGUUUAACUGUUUCGGGGGAAACUGGACAGAACAUAAAAAAUAAUUGCCACAGACCCUUUACUGUUUUGUUUGGGAAAAGAGUUUGCUAUAUUCAACUUUGCA